UAAGUACCCCGAGGAAAAGAAAUCAACCGAGAUUCCCCCAGUAGCGGCGAGCGAACGGGGAGCAGCCCAGAGCCUGAAUCAGUGUGUGUGUUAGUGGAAGCGUCUGGAAAGACGCGCGAUACAGGGUGACAGCCCCGUACACAAAAAUGCACAUGCUGUGAGCUCGAUGAGUAGGGCGGGACACGUGGUAUCCUGUCUGAAUAUGGGGGGACCAUCCUCCAAG
rnacentral:rRNA from 1 species